UUGGAACCAAAAAUUCAGUGGGAAAAAAAUUAUGUUGUGCCACCCAUAUCAUAGGAUUUGCCUGAUAUUUACUUGGACAGCCUCUUAACUACUCUCAAUCUCAGUGAUUGAAGUUUGUCUUCCUGUGCUUACUCCAGGAGGCUGAAGUCUAUUAGAUAAUAUAACAAAGUACUGUUAUUUUUAAAGUAUAAUUUAUUAGAAGAUG
rnacentral:lncRNA from 1 species